rnacentral:lncRNA from 1 species
GGGACAAGGAACUUCCGAAUAUGGCCUAACUGGGGGCACAUAACAUAACAUAACCUAAUCCUAAUAUUUACAUUUGUAAAGAAUAUCCUGUUUGUUUUUAUUGUCGAUUGUGCAGCGAAAUUGUGUGCAGCAAAUCAAAUAUAAAGUAGUUUAUCGCCUACAGAACUGAAUUAGUCCAUAGCAGUUAUCAGUUUUUCUUUCUUGGGAAGCUUAUACAUGUAACUUGUAUUGUUGUAAAUUGUGGGAGUAGGGCAGACAGGGAAAAGUCUUAUUUUGUACUGUUCCCAAGGCUCCCCAUGCAAUACAUUUAAAUGAAUUAUCCAAACAAAGCUGGGGACAAUGGAUAAAAGCCACAAGAAGAACAGAUAUAAGGGAACUAAAAUUAAAAUAUGAAAAGUAAACAUUUUAUAAGUGGAACAACCACCAGAUAUUUAAAAGGUAUAAAAAGAAGAAACUGCUGGAAUUUCAAAACAAAUGUGUUUGACUAGUAAAGAUUUGGAUAAAUAACAGGAGUUACUUUGGGCUAUAGCUAAGUGCAGAUUUAUUUCCUUGUGGCUUCCUAUGUUAAUUCUUAUUAAUUAUACACUUAAAUAUGUUUUUAGUCUCAGGAAGAUUUUAUAUUUGAUUAUUUUUGAAUAAACAUUAUUAUUAUUAUUACCUUAAUUUCCAUUAAAUAAAUUAACUGUAAUCAAUAAAGUAAUCGUUUAAUUGUUAAUAAAUUAUCAAGUAUGA